rnacentral:rRNA from 1 species
GACCGAUAGUGAACCAGUACCGUGAGGGAAAGGCGAAAAGAACCCCGGCGAGGGGAGUGAAAAAGAACCUGAAACCGUGUACGUACAAGCAGUGGGAGCCUCUUAAUGGGGUGACUGCGUACCUUUUGUAUAAUGGGUCAGCGACUUAUAUUCUGUAGCAAGGUUAACCGAAUAGGGGAGCCGAAGGGAAACCGAGUCUUAACUGGGCGUUAAGUUGCAGGGUAUAGACCCGAAACCCGGUGAUCUAGCCAUGGGCAGGUUGAAGGUUGGGUAACACUAACUGGAGGACCGAACCGACUAAUGUUGAAAAAUUAGCGGAUGACUUGUGGCUGGGGGUGAAAGGCCAAUCAAACCGGGAGAUAGCUGGUUCUCCCCGAAAGCUAUUUAGGUAGCGCCUCGUGAAUUCAUCUCCGGGGGUAGAGCACUGUUUCGGCAAGGGGGUCAUCCCGACUUACCAACCCGAUGCAAACUGCGAAUACCGGAGAAUGUUAUCACGGGAGACACACGGCGGGUGCUAACGUCCGUCGUGAAGAGGGAAACAACCCAGACCGCCAGCUAAGGUCCCAAAGUCAUGGUUAAGUGGGAAACGAUGUGGGAAGGCCCAGACAGCCAGGAUGUUGGCUUAGAAGCAGCCAUCAUUUAAAGAAAGCGUAAUAGCUCACUGGUCGAGUCGGCCUGCGCGGAAGAUGUAACGGGGCUAAACCAUGCACCGAAGCUGCGGCAGCGACACUAUGUGUUGUUGGGUAGGGGAGCG